ACUGUUCCUGUGAUGGUGUUAAAUAUACUUUGAGAUUGAUAUCUGUGAAGUUAAUCUAAUAUCUGAGGCAUAGU